AUACUACACAUGUCGUGUGGGUGAGAUCCUGCGUUCAGGUUCGAGCCGAGCGAAGCGAGACAGCAACGCGUCAGCGUUGACCCGAAGGGCGAGGCCAGAGGCCGAGUCAUCCCGCACGGCCCACCA
rfam:Yersinia pestis CO92 complete genome